rnacentral:misc_RNA from 1 species
AACGCACAUUGCGCCCCUUGGUAUUCCGAGGGGCAUGCCUGUUCGAGCGUCAUUACAACCCUCAAGCCUAGCUUGGUAUUGGACUUCGUCGCUUAUCCGGCGGGUCUUAAAAUCAGUGGCGGUGUCGUUGAGGCCCUGAGCGUAGUAAAUAUCCUCGCUAUAGGGACCCGGCAGCUACUGGCCACCAACCCCCAAUUUUCUAAGUUUGACCUCGGAUCAGGUAGGGAUACCCGCUGAACUUAA